UAAUGAAUCUUCCGCAAUGCACGAAAGUGUGACGGAGCGACACCGAGUGAAGGAUGAAGUCUUUCGGGAUGUAAACUUCUAAAAUCUGCUAGAAAGUUCUGAUCGGCAGACUACAAGUGGCGACUAACUCUGUGCCAGCAGUCGCGGUAAUACAGAGGCCACGAGCGUUAGGCGGAAUCACUGGGCUUAAAGCGUGUGUAGGUGGAUGGGUAAGUACCUUGUGAAAUCCCACGGCUCAACCGUGGAACUGCUUGGUAUACUGCCUGUCUUGAGGCACUCAGGGGCGAGCGGAACAAAUGGUGGAGCGGUGAAAUGCGUAGAUAUCAUUUGGAACGCCAAUGGUGAAGACAGCUCGCUGGGGGUGUACUGACACUGAGACACGAAAGCCAGGGGAGCAAACG
rnacentral:rRNA from 1 species